rnacentral:rRNA from 1 species
UUAAGUGACUAAGCGUACACGGUGGAUGCCUAGGCAGUCAGAGGCGAUGAAGGGCGUGCUAAUCUGCGAAAAGCGUCGGUAAGGUGAUAUGAACCGUUACAACCGGCGAUACCCGAAUGGGGAAACCCAGUGUGUUUCGACACACUAUCAUGUCAUGAAUACAUAGUGGCAUGAGGCGAACCGGGGGAACUGAAACAUCUAAGUACCCCGAGGAAAAGAAAUCAACCGAGAUUCCCCCAGUAGCGGCGAGCGAACGGGGAGGAGCCCAGAACCUGAAUCGGCUUGUGUGUUAGUGGAAGCGUCUGGAAAGUCGCGCAGCAAAGGGUGAUAGCCCCGUACACUAAAAUGCACAGGUCGUGAGUUCGAUGAGUAGGGCGGGACACGUGACAUCCUGUCUGAAUAUGGGGGGACCAUCCUCCAAGGCUAAAUACUCCUGACUGACCGAUAGUGAACCAGUACCGUGAGGGAAAGGCGAAAAGAACCCCGGCGAGGGGAGUGAAAUAGAACCUGAAACCGUGUACGUACAAGCAGUGGGAGCACCUUCGUGGUGUGACUGCGUACCUUUUGUAUAAUGGGUCAGCGACUUAUAUUUUGUAGCAAGGUUAACCGUAUAGGGGAGCCGUAGGGAAACCGAGUCUUAACUGGGCGUCUAGUUGCAAGGUAUAGACCCGAAACCCGGUGAUCUAGCCAUGGGCAGGUUGAAGGUUGGGUAACACUAACUGGAGGACCGAACCGACUAAUGUUGAAAAAUUAGCGGAUGACUUGUGGCUGGGGGUGAAAGGCCAAUCAAACCGGGAGAUAGCUGGUUCUCCCCGAAAGCUAUUUAGGUAGCGCCUCGUGAACUCAUCUUCGGGGGUAGAGCACUGUUUCGGCUAGGGGGCCAUCCCGGCUUACCAAACCGAUGCAAACUCCGAAUACCGAAGAAUGUUAUCACGGGAGACACACGGCGGGUGCUAACGUCCGUCGUGAAGAGGGAAACAACCCAGACCGCCAGCUAAGGUCCCAAAGUCAUGGUUAAGUGGGAAACGAUGUGGGAAGGCAUAGACAGCCAGGAUGUUGGCUUAGAAGCAGCCAUCAUUUAAAGAAAGCGUAAUAGCUCACUGGUCGAGUCGGCCUGCGCGGAAGAUGUAACGGGGCUAAACCAUGCACCGAAGCUGCGGCAGCGACGCUUAGGCGUUGUUGGGUAGGGGAGCGUUCUGUAAGCCGUUGAAGGUGGCCUGUGAGGGUUGCUGGAGGUAUCAGAAGUGCGAAUGCUGACAUAAGUAACGAUAAAGCGGGUGAAAAGCCCGCUCGCCGGAAGACCAAGGGUUCCUGUCCAACGUUAAUCGGGGCAGGGUGAGUCGACCCCUAAGGCGAGGCUGAAAAGCGUAGUCGAUGGGAAACAGGUUAAUAUUCCUGUACUUGGUGUUACUGCGAAGGGGGGACGGAGAAGGCUAGGCUAGCCGGGCGACGGUUGUCCCGGUUUAAGCGUGUAGGGGGUGUGACCUGGUAAAUCCGGUUGCAUAUCAACCCUGAGGCGUGAUGACGAUGCACUACGGUGCAGAAGUAGUUGAUGCCCUGCUUCCAGGAAAAUCCUCUAAGCUCCAGGUAACAUUAAAUCGUACCCCAAACCGACACAGGUGGUCAGGUAGAGAAUACCAAGGCGCUUGAGAGAACUCGGGUGAAGGAACUAGGCAAAAUGGUGCCGUAACUUCGGGAGAAGGCACGCUGGCAUGUAGGUGAAGUCCCUUGCGGAUGGAGCUGAAGCCAGUCGAAGAUACCAGCUGGCUGCAACUGUUUAAUAAAAACACAGCACUGUGCAAACACGAAAGUGGACGUAUACGGUGUGACGCCUGCCCGGUGCUGGAAGGUUAAUUGAUGGGGUCAGCCGCAAGGCGAAGCUCUUGAUCGAAGCCCCAGUAAACGGCGGCCGUAACUAUAACGGUCCUAAGGUAGCGAAAUUCCUUGUCGGGUAAGUUCCGACCUGCACGAAUGGCGUAAUGAUGGCCAGGCUGUCUCCACCCGAGACUCAGUGAAAUUGAACUCGCUGUGAAGAUGCAGUGUACCCGCGGCAAGACGGAAAGACCCCGUGAACCUUUACUAUAGCUUGACACUGAACAUUGAGCCUUGAUGUGUAGGAUAGGUGGGAGGCUUUGAAGCGUGGACGCCAGUCUGCGUGGAGCCAUCCUUGAAAUACCACCCUUUAAUGUUUGAUGUUCUAACUCNGGGGUGAGGACAGUGUCUGGUGGGUAGUUUGACUGGGGCGGUCUCCUCCCAAAGAGUAACGGAGGAGCACGAAGGUUAGCUAAUCACGGUCGGACAUCGUGAGGUUAGUGCAAAGGCAUAAGCUAGCUUGACUGCGAGAGUGACGGCUCGAGCAGGUACGAAAGUAGGUCUUAGUGAUCCGGUGGUUCUGAAUGGAAGGGCCAUCGCUCAACGGAUAAAAGGUACUCCGGGGAUAACAGGCUGAUACCGCCCAAGAGUUCAUAUCGACGGCGGUGUUUGGCACCUCGAUGUCGGCUCAUCACAUCCUGGGGCUGAAGUAGGUCCCAAGGGUAUGGCUGUUCGCCAUUUAAAGUGGUACGCGAGCUGGGUUUAGAACGUCGUGAGACAGUUCGGUCCCUAUCUGCCGUGGGCGUUGGAAGAUUGAGAGGGGUUGCUCCUAGUACGAGAGGACCGGAGUGAACGCACCACUGGUGUUCGGGUUGUCAUGCCAAUGGCAUUGCCCGGUAGCUAAGUGCGGAAAAGAUAAGCGCUGAAAGCAUCUAAGCGCGAAACUUGCCUCAAGAUGAGUCUUCCCUGGGCCUUUAAGGCCCCUGAAGGAACGUUUAAGACUAAGACGUUGAUAGGCUGGGUGUGUAAGUGCAGCGAUGCAUUGAGCUAACCAGUACUAAUGAUCCGUGAGGCUUAACCUU